GAGAUGGAGUUUCGCUCUUAUUGCCCAGGCUGGAGUGCAAUGGUGCAAUUUCGGCUCACCUCAACCUCCGCCUCCCGGUUUCAAGAGAUUCUCCUGCCUCAGCCUCCUAAGUAGCUGGGAUUACAGGCAUACGCCACCAUGCCUGGCUAAUUCUGUAUUUUUAGUAGACACGGGGUUUCUCCAUGUUGGUCAGGCUGGUCUUGAACUCCCGACCUCAGGUGAUCCGCCCACCUCGGCUUCCCAAAGUGCUGGGAUUACAAGCGUGAGCCACUGCGCCCAGCCAGUAACUGCCAUUUCUAAAGAGGAAAGAGAGCAGGCAGAGGGUCCUGACUCCCAGGGGACAGGUAGUUCAGCUGGACAAUGAGGGAGUAUGAGAUUAGGGUGGAUAAGGACACUGCUCACCACCCUCCACUGAAGUUCAGUGGCUAAAAUACUGCUACACCAGCCAAUCAGUGGAAGGCUAUCUUGCUCUCCAGGGGACACUUGGGAUGUGGUUGGUGGCAGGAAGAAAGAAUGUCAUGCUAUCUCUUGCUGCUCCUCCGGGUUUCUUUGCCGUUACUAACAGGGUUGCUGGAAGGGCCAGGCGGGCCUGCAGGUGUGUGGUUGGGCUGGCUUCGAGUGAUUCGGGUGCUGGGUGGGUGGGAGGGAGUAUGAGGGGGAUGUGGGCCACCACCGGGACCUGGUGGGGCACUCAGUCCAUUCCCAUUCUGGUUCUCAGAGGCUAAUUGCAGCAGAGGGUCCAGUGGUAGGCUGGGAAGCUGAAGGGUUGCUGUCGACUCACCGCCUUGUUGGGUGCCUGCUGGGUGCUGUACUC
rnacentral:lncRNA from 10 species